rnacentral:rRNA from 1 species
UACGUAGGUGGCAAGCGUUGUCCGGAUUUACUGGGCGUAAAGAGCGCGCAGGCGGUCGUACAAGUCGCGUGUGAAAGCCCCCGGCUCAACUGGGGAGGGUCACGCGAUACUGUUCGACUCGAAGGCAGGAGAGGGUAGCAGAAUUCCCGGUGUAGUGGUGAAAUGCGUAGAUAUCGGGAGGAAUACCAGUGGCGAAGGCGGCUUCCUGGCCUGUUCUUGACGCUGAGGCGCGAAAGCUAGGGUAGCAAACGGG